CGGAGCGCGGCGGGAGGGUUGCUGUGGCGUGCGGUUACUGAGCGCUGAAGGUGUGGAAGCCGCCGUGCUGUGGACAGGUGCUGUGAGAGGAGCGGGUCGAUUAAAGGCCGGAUUUAAUCCGCGAAGCGGUGAAAAAGCGGGGAUGCGGGGCGAGGAAAGGGCUGUGCACAGCCCGGAGCCGCCAAAGUGUCACCAAAGUGUCACCAAUUAUCACCAAAGUGUCACCAAAUGUCACCAAAGUGUCACCAACUGGGACCUGAGUGGAGCCCGCGAGUCCCCCAGUAAUGAACUCACGCUAACGAGCUCCUGCUUAUGAGGCUGGGGGCUCUGGCCACACGCUGGGGGGUCUUUGUGCACACAUUGGGGGUCCCUGUGCCAUGUAUUCGGGUUCUGUCCCCACAUUGGGGGUCUUGAGCACACGUUGGGGGUCUCUGUGCCCAUAUCAGGGGUCCUGUCCCCAUAACGGGGUCUUCCUGUCCCCAUGUCCCCAUAUAGGGACGCUUUGGGGGAUCCUUGUCCUCACAUUUGGGUUCCUUGUGCCCAUAUUGGGGGUCCCUGUCCCCAUUUCGGGGGUCUUGUCCCCAUAACGGGGUCUUCCUAUGUCCCUAUAUAGGGAUGUUCAAGGGGUCCCUGUCCCCAUAUCAGGGUCCUGUCCCCGUGUCCCCAUACAGGCACACUUUGGGGGAUCCCUGUCCUCACAUUUGGGUUCCUUGUGCCCAUAUUGGGGGUCUCUGGCCACACACUGGGGGGUCUUUGUGCACACAUUGGGGUCCCUGUGCCAUACAUUGGGGUUCUGCCCCAAUAUUGGGGGUCUUGAGCACACGUUGGGGGUCUCUGGCCACACACUGGGGGGUCUUUGUGCCCAUAUUGGGAGUCCCUGUCCCCAUAGUGGGCUCUUCCUGUCCCCAUGUCCCCAUAUAGGGACGCUUUGGGGGAUCCCUGUCCUCACAUUUAGGUUUCUUGUGCCCAUACUGGGGGUCUCUGGCCACACACUGGGGGGUCUUUUUGCCCAUGCUGGGGGUCAUGUCCCCAUAACGGGGUCUUCCUGUCCCCAUGUCCCCAUAUAGGGACGCUUUGGGGAUCCUUGUCCUCACAUUUGGGUUCCUUAUGCUCAUAUUUGGCAUCCUGUUCCCAUAUAUUGGGGGUCUCUGGCCACACAUUGGAGGGUCUUUGUGCCCAUAUUGGGGGUCCUGUCCCAAUAUUGGGGUCUUCCUGUACCUAUUUCUCCAUAUAGGGACAUGCAGGGGGUCCCUGUCCCCAUAUUGGGGUCUUCCUGUCCCCAUGUCCUUAUAUGGGGACACACUGGGUGUCCCUAUCCCCAUAUUAGGAGACCUUGUACUCAUGUGAGGGGGUCCUGUCCCCAUAUAGGGUGGUCCCUGUCCCCAUGUCCCCAUACAGGAACACUCUGGGGGUCCCUGUCCCAUUAUUGGGAGUCUUGUCCCUAUAAUGAGGCCUUUCUGUCCCCGUAUCCCCUCAUAGGGACACUCUGGGUUUCCCUGUCCCCAUACUGGGGAUCUCUAUCCCCAAACUGGGGGGCCGUGCACCCAUGUGAGGGGUCUCUGGCCCCAUAUAGGGACACACUGAGGGGCCCUGUCUGCAUAUUGGGGGUCCUGGCCCCAUAUCGGGGUCCUAUCCCCAUAUUGGGGUCUUCCUGUUCCUAUGUCCCCAUAUAGGGACAUUUUGGGGGAUCCCUGUUCUCACAUUUAGGUUCCUUGUGCCCAUACUGGUGGUCCUGUCCCUAUGUUGGGCUCUUCCUGUCCCCAUGUCCCUAUAUAGGGACAUGCAGGGGGUCCCUGUCCCCAUCCUGGAGGUCCUGUCCCCAUGUCCCCAUAUAGGAACAUUAUGGGGGAUCCCUGUCCUCACAUCUGGGUUCCUUGUGCCCAUAUUGGGGGUUCCUUUGCCACAUAUUGGGGUCUUCCUGUCCCCAUAUCCCCAUAUAGGGACAUGCAGGGGGUGCCUGUCCCCAUACUGGGGGUCCUGUCCCCAUAGUGGGCUCUUCCUAUCCCCAAAUCCUUAUAUGGGGACACACUGGGUGUCCCUGUCCCCGUAUUUGGGAUCCUGUCCCCAUAAUGGGGUCUUCCUGUCCCCGUAUCCCCUCAUAGGGACACUCUGAGGUUCCCUGCACCCAUACUGGGGGUGCUGUACCCAUUCUGGGGGUCCAUGCACCCAUGUGAGGGGGUCCUGCCUCCAUAUAGGGACCCUCGGGGGGUCCCCAUGUCCCCAUAUUGGGGUCUUCCUGUCCCCAUAUCACCAUAUAGGGACACACAGGGGGUUCCUAUCCCCGUAUCGGGGGUCCUGUCCCCAUAGUAGGGUCUUCCUGUCCCCAUGUCCCUAUAUAGGGACAUGCAGGGGGUCCCUGUCCCCAUACUGGGGGUCUUGUCCCCACAGUAGGGUCUUCCUGUCCCCAUGUCCUUAUAUGGGGACGCUUUGGGGGAUCCCUGUCCUCACAUUUGGGUUCCUUGUGCCCAUAUUGGGGGUCCCUGUCCCAUAUUGGGGUCUUGCUGUUCCCAUGUCCCCAUAUAGGGACAUUCUGGGGGUCUCUGUCCCCAUAUCAGGAGUUCUGUCCCCAUAACGGGGUUCCUGUCCCCUCGUCGCCAUAUUGGGGCACAUGGAAGCUCUCUGCCUCUCUAUCCCGACUUCCUUUAUUUUGAGCUGGUCACGUGAGGACGCGCCGCAACCCUAUUGGCUGUUAGCAGGCGCUGCUGCCUCCUGAUUGGCUGUAGGGCGUGGUGGGUGUGUUUUGUGAGUGCACCGCCCUACUUGUUUGCAUAACCACGCCUCCUUUUGUGCACUACGGAUUGGGGGUCAUUUGCAUGCCCCGCCCACUUCCUGCACAAGGGGGCGUGACCAAGUGGUGUGGGCGGGGCUUUGGGGGGCGGGGCGAACCUUGAGCACGUGGCAGAGCCACAGUGCACCAAAAAAUGAGGAGAAUGGCACCAAAAAGGCCGUUUUAAAAUAGUUUUCGCCAGAAAAAUGAAAGUAGAGGCUGAGCAUGAAUGAUGCCGAGCCCAAAAAUACCCAAAAUUGGGCAAUUCUGGGCUGGGAUGGGCAGAAAAUGGGAAAUUGUGGGUUUGGAAUGGUGAGUAAGGGGUAAUUGUGGGUGAAAUGAUCUAAAAAUGGGGAAAUUUGAGGUAAAAAAGUGAGAAAUGGGCUGAGAAAGACAGGGAAAUGGGAAUAGUGGGUAAAUGUGGCUGCAGAAAUGCAAAAAAUGGGGGCAAUUUUGCUUUAAAAAUGGUCAAUACGGGGUCAGGGAGGCAACAAAAUGGGGGGUGGGGGGAAAAGAAUGAGGAAAUGAGUGCAAAAAUUGGGCAGUUGUGGGCUCAAAAGGGCAAAAAUGGGUUCAGAAGAUGAAAAAUGGACGAUUGUAGGAUCAGAAUGGGGGAAAAGGGGAAGAUGUGGAUUUGGAAGGUUAAAAAUGGGCAAAAGUGGGUUCAGAAAAGCAAAAAAUGGGUAAAUGAGGGCUGGGAAGGACAGCGUUCAAUAAAUGUGAGGUUGGGAGGGCA
ensembl:lncRNA